AGUCAUGUUCAACUUUUCACACGUCUUCUAGAACUUGAUUGACGAUUCUUUGUUCUCGCGCGCCAGAAUUGCUCACGCAUUGUCACUUUCAACGUAUCUUUGAUUGAUUUCGUUGUCGUUAAAGGAUUUGCGAUGUGGGUUGUUAAAGUUCUAAACACGGAUGUGCACUGUUUGCCGGUAUUAGUAGCGGUAGUGGUGUGCGUUUUCGCUCUUCUCCUCAUGGUCCGAGGUAAACCUCGAAGAGGAAAAGUAAGUCAUAGGCCAUUUAUCAAAACCAGAGGUCGUCGUCCUUCGCCAAGGAUAACUCUCCUUUUCGGCAACAGGGAAUUUCCAAAUGGCCUGACAUUCACUCCCAAAAAUUCUUCAAGUCAACCACCGCUGUCAAUUAGAUCUUCUCCUUUCAAAACAAGACAUGUUAGUAAUAUCCCAGAAAAGUGUUGUGGAAACCGCACAUGGCCAGAUGUCUUGACCUCUGCCAAUCACAGCCUGAAGCAAAAAGUUCCUCAGCCGAAAAAGAAAAAAUCCAUGAAGGAGAAAAAUAUGAAACCAAGAGUGUUGUUUGCAUCUCAAUCUGUCCAUGAAAAGCAGGUUGGUUCCGAGGAAGAUAAAGCUGAACUCAUUCUACAGGACAGGCCAAAACGCAGGGAUAAUGGACAUAUUGAACAAGCUAAGACUAGCGGUUUGUGUGAACCAGACCCAUCUUUGUCUUCAAAUGUCAAGGAAAGUUGUGGGCAUGCAGACAGUCUGGGUAAAUCAAUUUCUCCAUUGAAUACUAAAAUUCCACCAGAUGAUGGACAAGUUUCUCACAACAGCUCAUCAAGCACAGUAAAUAAUGAACAUUUGCCUAAGGUUGAGGCAAAAAUUGAUACAACUAGGCUGUCUGCAGAUGUACCUAAAACAGGAAAGCCCUAUGAAGUUAAAUGGGAUGAACAAAUUAAACAAGCUAAGACUGGUAUUUUGUGUGAGCCAGACCCAUCUUUAUCAUUAAAUGGCAAGGAAAGGUGCAGGCAUGUACAUAGUCAGGGUAAAUCAAUUUCUCCAUCAAAUACAAAGGUUUUACUGGGAGAUGGACAAGUUGCUCAAAACAGAUCAACAAGCACAAGAAAUAGUGAACUUUCACUUAAGGUUGAGGCAAAAAUUGAUACAACUAUGCUGUCUGCAGAUGUAACUAAAACAGGAAAGCCCUAUGAAGUUAAAUGGGAUGAACAAAUCAAACAAGCUAAGACUGGUGUUUUGUGUGAGCCACACCCAUCUUUAUCAUUAAAUAGCAAGGAAAGGUGCAGGCAUGUACAUAGUCAGGGUAAAUCAAUUUCUCCAUCAAAUACAAAGGUUUUACUGGGAGAUGGACAAGUUUUUCAAAACAGAUCAGCAAGCACAAGAAAUAGUGAACUUUCAACUGAGCUUAAUUCAAAAGUUGGUACAAUUUGCUUGCCUGUAGAUGUAACUAAAAGAGAAAAGCCCUAUCAAGUUAAAUGGGAUGCAAAAAUUUCCAGAACCCCUUGUGAACGAUUUUCAUAUUUUUUAACUCUGAGAGAUGUAGAGACUAAUUCACGUGUAUCUUCAGAACAUGGCUCAUCAUUUGUAACUUUUCUGCCCAUUGGAGGUCAUACCUGCAGGCAAGGUCAAAGUCAGGAAAAUUUGUCAUCAACAAAAGCAACAACGAAUACAAGUUUAUGCCAAACUCUGCAGACUAAUGAUUGUCAUACAGAUAAGGUAGAGCACAAAGUUCCUGAAUCUUCCCAAAACACUUCUGCACCUGAUAACCGGGAAGUUGAUGAAAUUGAAUUGAUGGAUCUGUCUUGGGACAAUUCUGAUUGUUUUAGUGGAAACAGUGCAGGGUCCAGAGAAUCUAGCCCACUGGAACUUAUUAAGGAAGUGAGUUGUUCAUCUGACAACAGCAUUGGUAAGAGUGAACGUAAAAUGCGAUCAUCCAGGAAAAAGGCUGUAAAAUCUCACAAGAGAGAGGUGGUUAACUUUCACUGUAACAAUUGUGAUGUCAGUAACGAUGCUGCACAUUUGUCCAAGACACAAUCAUCCACAGAGAAGAAUGGAAAAUUUCCCAUCCAGAAGCCAUUGACCUGUAACCAUAAGAACUCUGAUGCCAAUGAUGUUGUUGCUCAGGCAUCAAAGUCUGAAGUGCAUUGUAUACUGUGUGGUAUCAGAUUGUCUAAACCACAAUGUUUUUAUAGUUUGGGUUCCCUGUGCACUGAUGAUGACAUUUGUGAAACUACCUCAGAUGAUAUUAAUCGACAUCUUGUAAGUGAUGUUGACACAAACCCUCCAGCAGGGGAAGGUAAAGGUCACCCUGACACAGGAUACACCAGCAGCGAAGAACUUGAAAAUGAAAGUGUCUUGCCAAAAGAGGUGGAGGCAAUUCUUACUCACAAAAGACGUAGGACAGAUGGUUAUGAUGGUGAUCAUGAGAGUGACAGCAGUUUUGAAUCUUUUGUCUUUACAUUGUCUUCAAGUGAAGAUGAGCGAGAAGCAGUUUCAGUCAAGGAAUAUGUGAAACAGGAAACAAAUAAGAGACAGGAGAUGGCAAUAUCACAGACUAUAGAAAAGGUCCAGAAAUUAAUUGCAAAAGCUCCAGCUGAAAAAGAGUGAAUUAAUCACUAAGACAACAGGGUGAACUGGAGCAGUCAUUCUUGGUUGGCUUUUCUCUAUAGCAUUUGACUUCAUGGAUGGUUAACUUCCUAUCAUUAUUUAUUCAAAGUGAAAUGUGCCUGCAUUGAUAUACCACUAUUCAAGUUGUCCACCUUUCUCAUUUGUGAAAAGAAGGCUGUGGCAUGAGUUACCUUUCAAUAGCUGGGGUACCUAAGGGCAUUCCUGAUGUUAAAUUAGCUGCUAAAGGUCACAGACACCAUAAUAUUGUAAUGUGGGAGAAACAAAUGUCAACUACCAUGUCUCUUGAUUUGUCAUGAAUUGGAUCUUUCAUUCAAGGGACAUCUGCAGAACUACAAAUUGCCAUGCUGGUUGUCUUCAUUGCCUUCCUCACUUCUUACGCUCUUCACUUCUGUCCACUGUGGUGUCAAUUUGCAGUGAGGGUGACUGUCUGUUUUAUAGGUAAAGAAGACUAGCUGAUUCAUGAUUUCACUGAAAUGUUCAUCCAAUGUUCUGUUUUUCAGGAUCAAUGUCAGUAUCUGAGCCACUUCACUGAUAACAAGUUAGGGUUAAUGUUGGGGAAAGGGAAGGGUAGGUGCACAGUUGCUCAGUUACUCACAUUGAGGUGAAUAUUGAUCCGUUUUUUGCAUAUGCAGGUAGAAAUUGUUUAGUUUUGUCUUUAACUGAGAUUGAAAAAUUCCAUGAUGACCUCACAAGCUCUCUGACUUCUUGUAUUUAUUGGUGUCAUUCAUGCUGGUAUGAGUCUAAGCUUUUUCCAUAUUGUGUUUUUAUCCAUCUUCUCUUAUCCUCUCUGCACCCUUAAAUGAAGGCCAUGUCUUUUCCAUCGAGUAGAUGUGUCAACUGAAUACUUGCCUCCUGAUAUAUUUUUAUUUUCUAUCUCUUUUUAGCAAUAAAUCUCCUGGUGUCAUCUGAUAUCUAAUGUUCUCUGCGUGUACCUCUUCUACGACCUAUCACUGUUUCAGUGCAAUCCCUGACUGUCGUUUUAAUGUUGCUUUCACACUUUUACACCCACAUUAUUCUGUGAAGCUUCAAAGCUCUUGGAACGCUCUACUCAGAAUUUUCGGAUCAAUAUCAGUAUCUGGGCAACGGCCCACCUGCCCCUCGGUUAGGGAAGGGUUAGGUGGGCAGUUGCCCAGAUACUGAUAUUGAUCCGAAUUUUCCUGGUUGGUCUGUGUCCGUCUGUAACAUUCUACGUAUUCUUGUGAAUGCCCAUGUCUUCAAAGAAUGUAUUGCCAGCAAUAAGUUGUGUGGUGCCUCCAGCACCAUGAGGACCGAUUCUGCUAUUUGAACCUUGCUGAUUUUCAUCAACUUGUGCUUUGAAAUCAACCGUAAUCACAUUCACAUCAUGAGUAGGGGUUUCCAUUCAAUAUUACCUAUAGCUGAAGUAGAAUUUAUCUUUCUCCUCUGUGUCGGUUACCUCAGUUGAUGCGUAAGCUUGAACUACACUUACUUUGGCAAGUGAUUACCAGAAUCUUGCAGUUGCGAAGCGAUUGUUGGUUGAUUUUCAGUCCAUCGGCUCUUGUGUAGCGACUUUAAUGAAGAACAGGCCUCCCACCCUUCACAUGAUAUUUGCUGUCUUCGAAGCUAAGUGCUGUAAGGUUGACCUGGUCCCUCCAUAUUAUUUCCCCAAUGCCUAGCACAUUCAGAUCACAUGCCUUCAUCUCUUUUAUGCCUUGAGCUGACUUUCCGCAUUGGUAGAACUCCUCAAAUUCGUGGCUACUUUUGUCACACUUUUAGUACUAAAGAUUGAGUGUGUCCGGUAUCUGAGUUCAUAUUGGAACUCAUCUGCCACGAUCAUAGAUGCAACAUACUGAACCCCGUCACUUCACCGCUGGUUCCAUAGUCGCUGGGUGCCACGCUUUUUCUUCUCGCUAUUUCCCUAACGAUGUUGUUUUACAUGGUGAGGUCGCUACCCUUACGUCCGAUCCUCUUCUUUUCUCAGUUGGGCUUAAGAUCAGAAAUGGCAUUGUGACUUUAGUGAUGGCUUCAGGUGUAUAAAUGUAGAAAACCUUCGCUAAUUAAUUCAAUAUAUUUUUUUUAGCAAUGAGAUCUUUUUGUUUUCUGAGACGCUGUGUUUUCUAUAUUUGAUUCAAAACACAAAGGUUAUUUAAAGGGGAAGUUUAACAUAGCUGUGUUGAUGUUUAGCUAGCUUUUUAAUUACUCGUCACCAAAGUUGUCCCGCUUACUAGUAGGAGGUAAUAAAAAUAUUUAUCAUAACUAUUAUUUUAGCUUAAUUAUUUCAAUUGUGGUCGUAAAAGUGGUCCAUCCUUAAAAGGGGACCACAUUGUUUAGAGAAUUCUGAAUUGAGAUAUCACCUAUUAAACUUACCAAAUUUUUUUAUGUAAAUUUUCAUAUACUAUUGUGAUUCAUUUUGUUAAACAAAUAAUUGCCUGUUUAAGAUGCUUUUAGAAUGUUCCGUAAGAGUUUGUGGACAAAAGACAACGUAAAUUAACCAUACAUGAAUUAUUGUAAGCCUUGGAACUGCAUAGGUGAAUUGUAAAGAAAUAACUUAUAGAAGUGUAUAUUUAAGAUUAAAAGUAAGAUUAUUAACGUUAAAUUUAAAGCUACAGAUUCAAAGCUAAGUCCUUUGAAGAAAAACAACAAAUAUAUCUACAUAUAUAUAUAUAUAUUGAGAAUUCGCUACGCUGAAGCCUCACCCUCAAGGAGAGUGAGAAGUAAAAGGUUUUAUAGAACUAUUUUAAGGUCUGAGAUAUUUCAUAAGCAAUAAGGUCUGUCCUAAGGCGUGCACGAGGUUUCAUUUAACUUUCACACAUUUAGUAACUUGAUCUACUGUUAAACAGGAAUGGUUUUUUAUUUAAUGCGUUUAUUUAUGUUGAGCGUAGCUUUUUAGGCUUAUUUAAGAUUUCACACACGUUCAUAUUUGGUAUUCAAAUUUUUAGGGGUUUUCUACUGUGAGUUGCGGGGUUUUGGAGUAUUUUUUAUGAAAUAGAUCCUCAGAAACGUAACGAGUUACCCUUUUUUUCUAAAUUUCGAGGGCUUCUUACAUCUUGCGUGACCUUAUACUAUUUAUAAGAACGUAACGAGUUACCUUUUUUUCCUAAAUUUCGAGGGUUUCUUACAUCUUGCGCGACCUUAUACUAUUUAUAAGAAUAUUAAGAAAUGACGCCAAAAUAAAGGAUGAAUAUUUA